AUUGAACGCUGGCGGCAGGCCUACCACAUGCAAGUCGAACGAGUGGCGGACGGGUGAGUAAUGUCUGGGAAACUGCCUGAUGGAGGGGGAUAACUACUGGAAACGAUAGCCAAUACCGCACACCAUCAGAUGUGCCCAGAUGGGAUUAGCUAGUAGGUGGGGUAACGGCUCACCUAGGCGACGAUCCCUAGCUGGUCUGAGAGGAUGACCAGCCACACGUGAACUGAGACACGGUCCAUACUCCUACGGGAGGCAGCAGUGGGGAAUAUUGCACAAUGGGCGCAAGCCUGAUGCAGCCAUGCCGCGUGUAUGAAGAAGGCCUUCGGGUUGUAAAGUACUUUCAGCGGGGAGGCGUUACCCGCAGAAGAAGCACCGGCUAACUCCGUGCCAGCCGCCGCGGUAAUAC
rnacentral:rRNA from 1 species